GUUGGAGGAGCUCAGAGCACUGGCCCAGCGCUGCCCCCAACUUGCUGUGUGCUCUUGGAUAAGUUAUCUCCCUUCUCUGGGCUUCAGAUAACGAACCCAAGGAUCCUUACGUAUCUUUAUAGCUACAAAGCCCUGUGAGGUUUUGAAAAACUUCCUUGGUACCCAAAACCAGGUCUGAGGCACAGUCAGUGAAUACCUGUUUAAUGAAUGCAUGCAUGAAUGAAUGAAUGGAUGAUCCAGCUCUUCCUGGAGCAGGCACGACUUCCACAGAAACGGAGCAAACGCGAGCCGUAAGCAGAAGUGAGUCUUCUUCCUAUGUGAAGGGAUGUGGGGGUGGUACGCCCCUAUCAACUUUAUCUUUACAUAGUCCUUGAGCGCCCACCGGGCACCGUGUUCCCCCGACUAGAGGGAGGGAGAGGGGGAUUAGCUCCACCCUUAACAAGCUUAAUUUUUGAUGAGAUUAACCAUCAAAACCCAUCAGAGAACGGUUAUAGCUCCAGCGCUGAAUGAGACAUCUUUGAUUCUGUGGUGAUGCGGACUUUGUGCCUCUCUGUGAGGAAACACUUUGUUCCAGUGACGCAAUUUUCCUCACACUCCGGAAGUGUCCUGCACUGCCAGAAUCGCCCAGCUUCCCGGCACACCUAUCAGCCAGUCGUUCCCAGCACUGCCCAGUAUGCAGCCUCCAGGCAGAGGGCCUGGAUGUCUUGGCAGGUGUUUCCGAAAAAUCCAAUCCACCCUCCAAGGUGGAAAGUGUGCCAUCUCUGCCCAUAAUCCAAAUGGCGUGCCUGAG
rnacentral:lncRNA from 1 species